CCUACGGGUGGCUGCAGUGGGGAAUAUUGGACAAUGGGCGAAAGCCUGAUCCAGCCAUGCCGCGUGUGUGAAGAAGGCCUUCGGGUUGUAAAGCACUUUCAGUGGGGAAGAAAGCCUUGGGGCUAAUACCCUCGAGGAAGGACAUCACCCACAGAAGAAGCACCGGCUAACUCCGUGCCAGCAGCCGCGGUAAUACGGAGGGUGCGAGCGUUAAUCGGAAUUACUGGGCGUAAAGCGCGCGUAGGCGGUCUGAUAAGCCGGUUGUGAAAGCCCCGGGCUCAACCUGGGAACGGCAUCCGGAACUGUCAGGCUAGAGUGCAGGAGAGGAAGGUAGAAUUCCCGGUGUAGCGGUGAAAUGCGUAGAGAUCGGGAGGAAUACCAGUGGCGAAGGCUGCCUUCUGGACUGACACUGACGCUGAGGUGCGAAAGCGUGGGUAGCAAACAGGAUUAGAUACCCGGGUAGUC
rnacentral:rRNA from 1 species